AGGCUCGUGUGUAAUAGUGACAGGCAGCUGGAAGCUCGGGGUCUGUUUUUGCAGCAGAACGUAGAUCAUCAGUCGCCAUUUCCGCCACCUCCACUGAGAUGCUGCCAGACACAGGAUGAGGCUGUCACUGGCUCGGCCAGCAUUUAUUGCUGCGUUUACCCAGAGGGCAGUUAAGAAUCAACCACGUUGCUAUAGGUCUGGAGUCCCAUGCAGACCAGACCAGAUCCCAGUGAUCAGUGCCAAAGCCCCAUUGCCUGUGAAGAGGGUGAUGUUUGAUUUCCCUGUCCAGCUGCAGUUCAUGUCGUGAAGGUGCUCCCACAAUGUGGUUGGGGAUCUGCACUGGAACCCUUCUGUUUGCGGGACAAAUAUAUAUAAGUGACAUGGAUUAAAAUCUAAUUUCGUGAGUUAAUAAGUUUGCAGAUGAUACAAAGUUCAGUGCAGUUGUGGAUAAUGUAGAGGGUUGUCAAAGAAUGCAGCAGGAAAAAGAUAAAUUGCAGAUAUGGGCAGAGAAAUUAAAGGCAAAGUUUAAUCCAUACAACUGUGAGGUGUUUCACUUUGGGAGCUCAAAUAUUAAGGAAAAGUAGGUGAUGGCAGGACCUUGAACAGCUUUGUUGUUCAAAGGGAUCUUGGUAUUCAAGACCAUGGCUCCCUGAAAGUGACCAUGCAAGUAGAUAGGGUGGUCAGGAAGGCAAAUGACAUGCUUGCCUUUAUUGGUCAGGGAGCUGGUUACACGAGUCAGGAUGGCAUGUUGCAACUUUAUAAGACUUUGGUUAAGGCAUACUUAAAGUAUUGUAUUCACUCCUAUUCGCCACAUUAUAGGAUGGGUAUGGAGGCUUUGGAGAAGGUACAGAGGGCAUUUACCAGGAUGCUGCCUGGAUUUGGAGACGUGAGAAAAACUCAGGUUGCUUUUUUGUGGAGUAGCGGAGGAUGGAGGAAGAAUUGAUGCAAGUCUAUUCAAUCAGGAGAUACGGAAAUAGGGUUGACAGUCAAAAUGGUUUUCCCAGAGUUGAAACGUCAAAAGUAUGUGACAUGCGUUUAAGGUUAGGGGAGACAGUUCAAGGGGCAUGUGAGGGGCAAUUUGUUUUUUACAAAGGGAGUGGUAGGUGUCUGGAAUGAACUUCCAGGGUUGGUGGUAGAGGCAGAUACAUUAGGGCUUUUUAAAUGUUCAUUUAGAUAAUUUGGAAGGAUAUGGACCAAGGGUAGACCGAAGGGGUGAGUUUAUUUUGCAUUAUGUUCCGCACAACGUUAUGGGCCAAAGGGCCCAUUCCUGUGUUGCACAGAUCUUUGAGAGAAAACUCAUGUCUAACACAUAUGACAUUUAAUCUAAUCAAUAUUUAGUCACUGGUGUCAAAAAUAGGAAUAA